rnacentral:rRNA from 1 species
UUCCGGUUGAUCCUGCCGGACCCCACUGCUAUCGGGAUAGGACUAAGACAUGCAAGUCAAGCGCUUUCUAGCUAAUGUGAGAGCGCGGCGUACAGCUCAGUAACACGUGGCCAACCUGCCCUUGGGACGGGAACACCCCCGGGAAACUGGGGUUAAUUCCCGAUAGGUGAAGAAGUCUGGAAUGACUCUUCGCUCAAAAGACGUUUAUGUCAUGCUCAUAUUCGUCGCCCAGGGAUGGGGCCGCGACCGAUCAGGUUGUUGGUGAGGCAAUGGCUCACCAAGCCUUUUACCGGUGCGGGCCGUGAGAGCGGGAGCCCGGAGAUGGGCACUGAGACAAAGGCCCAGGCCCCACGGGGCGCAGCAGUCGCGAAAAUUUUGCAAUACACGAAAGUGUGACAGAGCUAUCCCGAGUGCCAUCCGCUGGGGAAGGCUUUUACCCAGUAUAAAUAGCUGGGAGAAUAAGGAGAGGGCAAGUCUGGUGUCAGCCGCCGCGGUAAUACCAGCUCUCCGAGUAGUGUGGACGUUUAUUGGGCCUAAAGCAUCCGUAGCUUGCUAGAUAAGUCCUCUGUUAAAUCCACCGAUUCAAUCGUUGAAUUGCGGGGGAUACUGUUUGGCUAGGGGACGGGAGAGGUCGACGGUAUUUCCGGGGUAGGGGUGAAAUCCUAUAAUCCCGGGAGGACCACCAGUGGCGAAGGCUGUCGACUAGAACGCGCCCGACGGUGAGGGAUGAAAGCUGGGGGAGCGAACCGGAUUAGAUACCCGGGUAGUCCCAGCUGUAAACGAUGCAGCUAGGUGGGUUUGGGCGGGCCACGAGCCGCCCUAGUGCCGCAGGGAAGCUGUUAAGCCUGCCGCCUGGGGAGUACGGCCGCAGGCUGAACUUAAAGGAAUUGGCGGGGGAGCACCACAG